rnacentral:rRNA from 1 species
GUUAGGAAUAUUGGACAAUGGGCGCAAGCCUGAUCCAGCCAUGCCGCGUGAGUGAUGAAGGCCUUCGGGUUGUAAAGCUCUUUAGCCGAUGAUUAUAAUGACUGUAGUCGGAAAAUAAGCCCCGGCUAACUUCGUGCCAGCAGCCGCGGUAAUACGAAGGGGGCGAGCGGUAUUCGGAAUCACUGGGCGUAAAGCGUGCGUAGGCGGCUUUGCAAGUUGGGAGUGAAAGCCCAGGGCUCAACCCUGGAAUUGCUCUCAAAACUGCAAGGCUCGAAUUCGGGAGAGGAUAGCGGAAUUGUCAGUGUAGCAGUGAAAUGCGUAGAUAUUGACAGGAACACCAGUGGCGUAAGCGGCUAUCUGGACCGAUAUUGACGCUGAGGCACGAAAGCGUGGGGAUCAAACAGGAUUAGAAACCCUUGUAGUCC